rnacentral:rRNA from 1 species
ACUACGGGUGGCAGCAGUGGGGAAUAUUGGACAAUGGGGGAAACCCUGAUCCAGCGACGCCGCGUGAGUGAAGAAGUAUUUCGGUACGUAAAGCUCUAUCAGCAGGAAAGAAAAUGACGGUACCUGACUAAGAAGCCCCGGCUAACUACGUGCCAGCAGCCGCGGUAAUACGUAGGGGGCAAGCGUUAUCCGGAUUUACUGGGUGUAAAGGGAGCGUAGACGGCAGCGCAAGUCUGGAGUGAAAUGCCGGGGGCCAACCCCGGAACCGCUCUGGAAACUGUGAAGCUGGAGUGCAGGAGAGGUAAGCGGAAUUCCUGGUGUAGCGGUGAAAUGCGUAGAUAUCAGGAGGAACACCGGCGGCGAAGGCGGCUUACUGGACUGUAACUGACGUUGAGGCUCGAAGGCGUGGGGAGCAAACAGGAUUAGAUACCCGUGUAGUC